AAAUCUCUGCCUUUUGGCUAAGAUCAAGUGUAGUAUUUGAAAGCAAGUGUUCCACUUCAUUGUUUACACUAACAUAACAAAUUGUUAUUUGUCGGGUGUAUCGAAAUGCAUGUGUUCCUAGCUCCAACAGUGCGGUAGUAUCUAACAGUUCACAGCAAAACACACAUCUCAAA
rnacentral:snRNA from 2 species